AUCCGUGUGAUUUAGUUUCCAAAUAUUGAGAGUUUUCCAGAGAUCCUUCUGUGCUCUUGCUUCUCAUGAUUUGUUAGGUGCAUCCAGAGGGGCCCUGGGGCCAGGGCUGAUUAUUUCCUGCCUUGGAGGCAAGACCUUGCUGACGACCCUGUUCAUUCUGUGGAUUCUGGUUGCUUGUUGAAAAUUCUGGAUGCAAUUUUUUCACAUGAAAGAUUAGUAGAUUUUUCAAAGAAGCCACUGUGAAUUACUUAGAGGAGAAGUUCACAAAAUGAAAAGUAACGUUCAUGGGCUACAAAAAGAGCUGUCAGAAAGCAAAGAAGUGAAAUCACAGAGCAUCGGAAAGUGGAGUGGGAAUGAGAGCUCAGCAGCUUGAGAUUCACCUUAAAGCAAGAAGAAGAGAAUAGAAGAAAUGCUAAUAUGUCAUAUGAAAAAAUUAGGGAGCAGUUAAGACAAGAAGACGAAUAUAGUGAAGAAAUUGAAAUGAAAUAACAACUAGAACUCACUCUCUGAGCACUCAAAAUGGAACUGCAGACUAUGAGAAAUACUUGGAAUCAGACUUCAAAACUCUUCCUAGAGGAGGAACACAGGC